ACAGGUAGGAAAUUCCUAACUAUAUCUUACCACGGUUGGUACAGACUGCCAGGGUCAGAGAAAGAAGACAUCACAAGAAAUGUUCUCAAAACUGUCCUUGAAUUUGCAGAUUACAACAAACUUCCAUACAUAAUAGGUGGAGAUUUUAAUGUUGACUUAACAAGGAUUGGGAUCUUACAUAUCAGCCAAAAUCCGUUGAAAUCAAUGAUUAUUAUAAAUGGAAGCACAGGGCUCACAAAUUCGAUUUUGUGAUAACACAUGGUAGCCAUUACAUUAUGGUGAAACCAGUCGAAUGUACAACAAUGUCUAUCAAUAAAUCACUCUCCACAGUGAUGCUUGCUUAAUUAAUAUCAUUAAAAAAUAAAAACAUAUUACAAUA